rnacentral:rRNA from 1 species
AUUGAACGCUGGCGGCAGGCUUAACACAUGCAAGUCGAGCGAGCGGCGGACGGGUGAGUAAUGUAUGGGAAACUGCCUGAUGGAGGGGGAUAACUACUGGAAGCGGUAGCUAAUACCGCAUACCAUCAGAUGUGCCCAGAUGGGAUUAGCUAGUGGGUGGGGUAAUGGCUCACCUAGGCGACGAUCCCUAACUGGUCUGAGAGGAUGACCAGCCACACUGGAACUGAGACACGGUCCAGACCCCUACGGGAGGCAGCAGUGGGGAAUAUUGGACAAUGGGCGAAAGCCUGAUGCAGCCAUGCCGCGUGUGUGAAGAAGGCCUUCGGAUUGUAAAGCACUUUAAGUGAGGAGGCGUUACCCGCAGAAGAAGCACCGGCUAACUCCGUGCCAGCCGCCGCGGUAAUAC